GAUGAACGCUGGCGGCGUGCUUAACACAUGCAAGUCGAACGAAGCAUUUUCUAUGAUUGAUCGGUGACUGAGUGGCGGACGGGUGAGUAACGCGUGGGCAACCUGCCCUGUACAGGGGGAUAACAGUUGGAAACGGCUGCUAAUACCGCAUAAGCGCACGAGAGGACAUCCUCUUGUGUGAAAAACUCCGGUGGUACAGGAUGGGCCCGCGUCUGAUUAGCUGGUUGGCAGGGUAACGGCCUACCAAGGCGACGAUCAGUAGCCGGUCUGAGAGGAUGAACGGCCACAUUGGAACUGAGACACGGUCUAAACUCCUACGGGAGGCAGCAGUGGGGAAUAUUGCACAAUGGGGGAAACCCUGAUGCAGCAACGCCGCGUGAGUGAAGAAGUAUUUCGGUAUGUAAAGCUCUAUCAGCAGGGAAGAUAAUGACGGUACCUGACUAAGAAGCUCCGGCUAAAUACGUGCCAGCAGCCGCCGUAA
rnacentral:rRNA from 1 species